rnacentral:rRNA from 1 species
UACAGAGGGUGCAAGCGUUGUUCGGAAUUAUUGGGCGUAAAGCGCGUGUAGGCGGCUUUGCAAGUCGGGUGUGAAAGCCCUCGGCUCAACCGAGGAAGUGCGCCCGAAACUGCAGAGCUUGAGUACCGGAGAGGGUCGCGGAAUUCCCGGUGUAGAGGUGAAAUUCGUAGAUAUCGGGAGGAACACCAGUGGCGAAGGCGGCGACCUGGACGGACAUUGACGCUGAGACGCGAAAGCGUGGGGAGCAAACAGG